CGCUUCAUACGGCUCAGUAACACGUGGCCAACCCACCCUCGGGACGGGGACAACCCCGGGAAACUGGGAUUAAUACCCGAUAGGCGAAGACUCCUGGAACGGGUCUUCACCCAAAAGGUGUUAGGAUCAUGCUUUUUAACAUCGCCCGAGGACGGGGCCGCGGCCGAUCAGGUAGUUGGCGAGGCAACGGCUCACCAAGCCUAUAACCGGUACGGGCCGCGGGAGCGGGAGCCCGGAGAUGGGCACUGAGACAAGGGCCCAGGCCCUACGGGGCGCAGCAGUUGCGAAAACUUGUCAAUGCACGAAAGUGUGAACGGGCUACCCCGAGUGCCGUCCGCUGAGGAUGGCUUUUCUCUGCUGUAAGAAGGCGGAGGAAUAAGGAGAGGGCAAGUCUGGUGUCAGCCGCCGCGGUAAUACCAGCUCUCCGAGUGGUAGGGAUGAUUAUUGGGCCUAAAGCGUCCGUAGCCGGCCUUUCAAGUCUUUCGUUAAAUCCAGCGAUUCAAUCGUUGGACUGCGGGAGAUACUGUUAGGCUAGGGGGCGGGAGAAGCCGACGGUAUUCUUGGGGUAGGGGUAAAAUCCUAUAAUCCCAGGAAGACCACCAGUGGCGUAGGCGGUCGGCUAGCACGCGCUCGACGGUGAGGGACGAAAGCUGGGGGAGCGAACCGGAUUAGAUACCCGGGUAGUCCCAGCUGUAAACGAUGCGGGCUAGGUGUUGGAGCGGCUACGAGCCGCUUCAGUGCCGCAGGGAAGCCAUUAAGCCCGCCGCCUGGGGUACGGCCGGCAGGCUGAACU
rnacentral:rRNA from 1 species